CAAGAGGUCAAAUAUAAAUCUCUUCGUAAAUGAAUGCAACAUAUAGUAUAUAAGCCAAAUUUACAUAUAAUUUAUCUACAUAUACAUAUAUGACUUUUGUAUUAAAAUAUCAAGAUUAUAGAUAUUUAUAAAUCUUAUGAAUAUUUGUCGAGUUAUCUCACACAAAUUGUGACGUAAGCACACUUUCAAUUAAAAUGUGAAUGUGUGUUAAGUAAAUUUUUAUACAGUUUUUGUCAGGUCAAUUUCAUAAUAUUACCGAAGUAUUAUUAAACAAUUGCAACUUUAUAAAGCGUGGAAACAAAACUAAUACAAAAAUAAAAAUUAUUUGAACAUAAUUUACAAUUUUAAUAAAUUAAUCGAUUUUAUAUAAUUUAAUCGAUUACAACUUUUUAUCGAUAACAAGCAUUUCGUGCAAAAUAUAUGUUUCUUUGCAACAGUUAUUUCAAUAAACCGCACUUCAAUUUUUUCAAAACAAAUAAAAUAAAAUAAGAUUUAAAAAGGAAUAGAUUAUUUAUAAAAAAAAUAUGCAGGAUUUGUUGAAUAUUUUUUGAUUGUAUGUAUGUAUGUACGUACACUUUAAAUAAUCCGCCUCGAUUAUCGUUCACCGAUUCGCGACGUAUCAGCGACACGGAGUGAAGUUAUUGCCGAUAGCUUCGAGAUUUUCGGUUAGUCGUGAGACGCCACGGAGAAUGGUUGUGGACGGAUCGACUGCGAGAUUCAGCGGCGGCGAUACGUUCAAUCGGCAAGUGCAACCGCAAUUAAUCCGAUCUUCGUCGAUCGCGCGACAAUGAGCUCGUCGUGGGUCACGCCGUCAACUUCCCGAGAUGCGCGUAUUUCGUGAGAUUCCUUCGAUCGAAACGAUCGACCGUGGCGAGUGGCCGUGGGCGAUGCCAUGUCCACCCUUCCGCGUAUGACGCGGGUCGUGGGUAUUCAUCUCGAUUCCAACUCGUGUAUUUACAUGCAUUCAUUCCGGCACAGCGUGUCGCGAUGGGGCAAUAGAGGGGAGGCGGUUUAAUCGCGACGUUUAAUCCCGAGGCGCGAUUAUGUGCCCUUUGUGCCAACAGGUGUGUGACGUCAUCGCGGCGAGCGACGUGAAUUUGGGCGCGCGAGCGGAUCGCGGCGUAACGUAAUGAAGUGAGCGUGCGGUUAAAGCGCGGGAAAUGACCGCGCGCGAUUUUCGGGAGUGCCGCGCGCAGAGACAUCGGGUGAUCGCGAUAUCUAGCGGCAACGGCAAGUGGUGCGUGCGUGAAUUUAACCUGUCGCAGAGAGAUAGCGUUGCGAGGGAGUGUUGAUGGUGUUGAUGUACUGUUAAUAGUGCCAUGUGGAUGAAGCAACAAGGGAUCAGGAAACAAGAGGAGGAGGAGGAGGCCCAGGAAGGGGUAUCAGGCGACGGCGGAACAACCGUGGAUUACACAAAACAAAUGGUUUUGCAUCAAUAUUUUAAUGUCCGCUGCUGUGCAUCGUACCGGUGAGUGUUGGAUUACUUUUAAUUCCGUCUGUUGAAACAAUGAAUUGACGAGGAAAGGUAUAAUACAAGGUAUAAUACAUAUGUAUAUGCAUGUACCUACAUAUAUAUGUUUUCAGGAUUGUAUCGUUAAACGUUAGUCUUGCCAUGCGCGCGGUACAAACUGCUAAUUGCAAACGAUUUGGGUCGAUUAGAUCUCACUAAUCGCGUGCAUUGAAGGUCGUCGAAGCAAUUUCAUUCCACGUCGGUAUUUGGAGGCGAUAAAGUGAGAUCUUAAUCGCCGAUUUCUAUUUUGGAUUGUUAUUGGAUUGACAUUGGAUUCUUUUGUACCAGGGAGCGCACGUCUCGACGACAUAAAAGGAGUUUCGUAUUAGGUGGAUUUGCCACGACAGAUAGCAUCCUGAUUUCGGCGUACCAAAAGUGACUUUGAAAAAAAGUGAUAAUGAAAAACAAGGAUAAGGAGAAUGACAAAGUAGAAGAAGAGAAGGAAGAAGAAACUGAGGAAGUGUGAACAGUUAGUGUGCUUGAUGCAGUAGUGUUUCUCUCCCGUAAUUGAUUUUCGAUACGAUAAUGAUGCCAUCCGUAUUUGCGACUCGAGCUCCGACGGGAGGAAACGGAUCCACCGUGACACGUUUACAGAAUCGAAAAACCCGCAAUGCGUUCAGUCACUCCCGCGGGAUCCCGUCGUAGUUCAAGAGACUUUUACUAUCUUGACAUGGCGACAAGCGGGAAGCGGGCGGGAAGAGCAAUAAAUGAGAACGCCCGCGUUUAUUCGUCCGAAAAACAAUGGAGAUAAACUCGGCGGAGAGACGCCUCUCCAUCGUCAUGGGGUUUUUUUUGCAGGACAUUUAUCAAGGAAAUUUUUUCUUUCUGAAAUUUUACAAUGGAACUUUUGUUGAAAACACAAGUGAAUGAUGUAAGCGGUAUAUAGACGCUCAAUUGGUAGCUAGUUAAGAAAAUACGUAUAAUGUAACACUUGUAACACAGAAUACCGCAAGAUUCAGAAACGCAGUCGAGGGAUAUGACCUACUAAAGAAUGGACGUUUCCCAGGGAAUAUCGUACACAUGGGGCGUUACGAUUUAGAUGUCGACGUUUGAAAUGAGGCGCACGCUGCUGCGCCGGAAUUUUGCAGUUUCACAUCGUUUCCGACCCCACGGACCGAUCUCCCUUUACAUUUGCGGAUGCAAUAAGUUGCCUUGGCUUUUCCUCCCGCUAUCCGGUCGCACCAUACCAUCAUGCAUUAUCCAUGGUAAGAACCAGAUCUGGCCGCAUCCUACCGGUAUCGUUUUGAUACGCGCGAAUUGAAGCCUCCCGUGUAGCAUCAAGGAUCGAUUUGUCAUGGACGUCCGAUAUUAUAAAAGAACUUUUUCUCACGGAGCCGUUCUCAAUGAAAAAUGCGGAACGUUAUCUUUAUAGUGUUAAAUGGCGUGUAAUGCUCGAACUUACAAAAUAAUUGAACAUUACAUGCAGAAAUAAUACUUUGACAGUUUUUUUAUAGUUAAGCAACCUAAUAUUUUGGUUAAUGUCACUUAAGUAAAAAUUAUCUUUGUGUAACUUAAUAAACCUAAUUGUAGUUUUUUACAUUUACAUAGGAUUAAUUGAAAAAAAAUAUAUUCAAGAAUUAAACGUUUUUUAUAUUAUCAAAACGAUCAUAUUGUAUGUGUUUAGGUGAUCAUUUGCAAGCCUGAAAUUAAACGCAUAUUAUUAAAAUGCGUUUCAUACGAGUCACUGAUAUUAGCAUAUUGCAAUGAUAAUACACAGAAUUCUACGAAAGCUUGUCGCGGCAUUUAAAUAAAACGUUCUGUUAUCGUUGAAGACGUCUAGAUAGUUGUAUGACAUUAUAUAUUUAGUACGUUAUUUAAGUAGCGUCCUAUCUCGUCGGACAAACAACCACGGUAUGCCCCCAAGAUUUGUAUCUCCGUUUUAUGCAAGCGCCAGGAGAUCUUCGCACCUAAAUUAACUACCAACGUCUUGCGGUUAAAAGCGUUUGUUUUCGUUGCGGUUUUCAUACACGGUACAUUCACGAAAAUGUGCGCUAAGGCGCGCUAAAGUUUCGUUCUGAAUUUGCGCGCGGCGAUAAAUCCAUGUUAACGCUAAGCAAGACAGUAUAAUAUAGCGUGCAAGUUGCGGCACGCUAUUCGCUAUUUUCGCCAGUUUCGUUCGCGCUCGAUGAACCGUAAGGUACAUAAAGAAUAAUAAAAUAAAUGGAACUGACGUUUUCACGGUUUAACGCGUGUAAUUCGACUGGUCGUAUUCGCGAAACUUUUGCUUUAUGGUCCGUCGCAUUUGAGCACCAGGAAAUAAUGCAAAAAUUCACAAUGUUUCAAUAAGAACACAAUUUCAGCCAGAUUUAUAAUAUUCUAACAUCUAGGUUAAAGUGUUCCUAUCUGUAAUAUUAAGCAUGUGAUCGAAUUGUAUAAAAUACAUAUACAUAAUUUUUUAUUUCUCUCUUAUCAUUUGUAUUGUAUUUUUUUUUAUAAAGAAAGAAAUAUUAUAUAUGCUUCCAAAUUUUUAUACUUGAUGUUUUUUUUAUUGAAUCCACUAAUUAGAAAAUUUUACAUUAAAUUAGUCAAUUAGCAACGUUUGUAAUAUCGGGCGUUGUUCAAUUAAUAUCGCAAAAUUAAUGAAACGGAGCAGAGAGAAUUUAAAGUUUAAAAAUUGCAACAAUAAGUUCUGUACAAAUAUUCACGUAUAUUUAUUGCGCUAUUGAUUGACGAAGAUAUGUCUGUAUCUGUGUCUCUUUUCUCAUUAACCCGCGUUAUCAGAAAUAAGUUUACGGUAUAUCAAUUUAUAUGCUUUUGAGUACUGAUAAAGUGAAACAUGAUAUGGCUGUCGAUAUUUUUAGUUUUCCCGUUUUGCCGUUUAUCUUCUUUCUCUUUUCCUUCUAUUUGCUUCUUGUUCUAGCUAUUAACCGUUAUUGAGAUGAUUCUUAUCACAUGAAGAGGAAACUCGUUAGCGCACGAAGACCAUAAAUCGCGGAUGGGAAACAACGGAGUUCCGUUUGGCUUCCACGAAUACGAGAGCGGUUGCCUAAAUCCCCUAUCGGAAGCAUCUCGAUAGUUAUCAAAGAUCAUUCACAUUCUCCAUUAAUACUCUCAGCGAUGUUACAUACUGAACAACGAGAUGGAAGCUUACCCGCAAUGCUUAUUCGACUGCGUUACACUCGAAGCGAUGGCGAAGGCUUUCUAAUGUGGAUCAUGUUCAUUAUUAGCUCAAAGGAGGAGAGGGCCAUGGAAGAGAGAAGAACAAAAGGUGAAUGAGGAUGAUGAUGGAGGUAAAGAGCUUUCUAACGAGCCACGUCAUUCCCGUGGACGAAUGCCGGAAUUAUGGUUGAUACUCAUCACUGUGCGGUAUCGAUUGCAGUUACAGCGAGCGAUGGAAUCGAGUCGAGCUGCCGACGAUUUUGAUUAAAUUCACUCGCGGUCACGUUUAUACGGGCGAGUCGCGUUGAUAUCCAAAUAGAAGCAUUUCGUUUCGAAAUUUCACAUCGAUAUUUUAGAGCGAUAGGUAACGUGUAAUUCAAUACGUAUCGAUAGCAUCAAUGACAAGCUAUCAAAUGAAUCAAAGUAAUAAAGUAAUAAAUAAAAAGCCACGCACAAGUCAACAUUAGUGAUAUACAUCGAUUUACACAGUGACCAAUUAAAUGUACAAAAUCAUUGACAUUGACAAAUAAAACAUCUAAGACAACUCUCUUUCUCGAUUUAUUAUUAUACAUACGAAAAAUUAGCUAUCUCUCUAAUAAAUAUUUUAGACUUCAAAGCUAAUAGAUUAUUAAGUGUUUUGCAUUUUUAAUAAUAAUAAAUAAGCUCAAUUUUGCAAAGCAAAUAAAAGUGCUUUGAAUUUUAUUUGCUUUGCAAUUUUUUGUUAUUAAAAUAAAAGAUAGAUAAUAAAAAUGUGUCUUUUAAUUUAUUAUAUUAUGUCACAAGAAUUUUUCGAUUUGAUCGCACGAAAUAAAGCAGUAGUUGCCUAUUACUUGUUAUUUUUUAUUUUAUAUUUCUUAUUUAUGUAAUAUAUUGAUCCAAAUAAACGUUAGAAAUUAUAUAAUUUGAUUUAACCUUUUACAAAUAACAAAUUAAUUUAUUAUAAGCUUUUUUAUAACACUGCAAAAGAUGUGAUUUAAACAACCAAUCGUGCUUGUGAAAAUACAAAAUUGGUAAAUUAAACUAUUUAAAAAUAUAAGGAAUUAUUAAGUAAUAUUUAUUUUAUUAGUCGCGCUUUAAUUAGUCGCGCAAAAAUAUUCAUGACGUUAGUCAUGUGGAAUCAUCCCAAAAUAAACUGAGGAAACUAAAUAACAAAUAUAGUGAAAAAUCUACAGUUUUUAUUUUAAGCAAUCAAGUUAUAGUCUAACUUUUGAAAUAUUUUAAAAAUAAAAUAAGACUUGGACAUCGUAAUGACCUCGCGCGAAUAAUUAAAAAUUAACAAUUUAUUGACAAAUUUAAAUAUUUAAUAAAUAAUGAUCAUGAAAAGAUAAAAAUGUCAAAAUAAAACUGGCUUGAAUUUAUUUUUGUAAUUAUUACAUUAUUUUAUUCAAAUUAAUAGAAUUUAUUUAUACUGUCACUUUUUUGUUAUCAGUUUUUCUGUCUUUCUGUAUAUUAAUAUCAUUUGUUAUAAUAAAAUUUGUGGAUGGCACGAUUUAGAAAAGCUAAUAGAUUUUAUAAAAAUAUCUAUUUAUUCUUUAAUUUUAUAAUAAUAACUUUUCAAUCUUUAUAAUAAUAACUGAAAAUGUAUACAAUAAAUGUAAAAUAUUUAACAAUAAAUCUUCUUUUAUAAAAAUAUAUAUAAUUUUAGCACAAAAUUGUACGAAAUUGCUUUAUUGUUAGCUACAUAAAUUGAUUAAAAAUUGACAUCAGUUGUAAUAAUUGUAGAAAUGUUAUUAACACACACAAAACGGAAUGUAAAUUUUUACCUUAAUUAAUAAUAUUACUUAUUCCUCAUUUAUUUUAUUACACUAGUUUUAUCUUUAAUGGUCGUUUUAUCAAGUAAAUUUAUCAAGUAUUUAUCAAGUAAAAUAUAAAAUAUAUUGAUAUAGAACGAUUUAAACAACUGAUAUAUACGCUGCAAUAUAUCAUCAGAAAUAUUUGCUGUUAUUGCUAUCCUAAGCAGAAUGGAUUGAAGAUACAAUAUCGGCCGCAAAAUGUUGAAUUAAUGAAAACAUAUAUUCAUAUUUUUGUUAAUAUAAAUUUGUUGAUCGCUCUAUAAUAUUUUCGUGUACUUACAUCUUGUAAUAUCGUGAGUAGCAACUCAUGUACCGUUGGACGUAAAACAUCACCCUGUUAACAGAUAUACGACAAAUGCGUUCCUCGGUCACGGACAUUGAUCGACAUCGACGACGUAUCGACAAUGUUAAUCUGUCUCGUCGAAGGGCUGCGCCCACAUCGCCGUCCGAUCUCAUGUUGCUCGCAUGAACUCGCUGCGGUAGCAACACGAAGUAACUUCCGUGUCCACCAUUGAAAAGGAUGUUCAUGCUACUAGUAAAUUUUUAGCGUAGUUGUUUGCGUCCAUGGAUAACGAGUGAGUUAACUCUGAGUUUAUAUACAAACACAGUCCGAGUAACUAAAUAUUAAACACAUAUAGAAAGGAGCGUUACCAGUUUUUACAAACGAGAACGAGAUAAAUCUUUACUUACACGAGGUAUAUCUUCAAUUCUACAGGUAAUAUAAAAAUAUAUGAAACAGAUUUUUUGACAAGAGUACAUAAUAAUGAGUUCGUAACGGACAGAUCCAAAUAUAUACAUUUCCCAAUCGUACAAAAGCCUAUGCGGAUUAAAUAUAAUUGUUUCCAAGAGUAAUUCCGAAACCAGUUAUUACUUUUCGUCCGCAAAGAAUUUUAGUUUGCUUUCUCGUUCGUUUGAGACAAUUUCUAAAUAAAAUAAACUAUUGAAGUAAAAUAAAAGAUAAAGAUUUGUGAAAAACGAUUUCUAAAAAGAAAAUAGAUACGGAGAAUAUAAAAUCAACGAUAUUAUACAUAUAUUAUAUCGAUGAUUUCAACUUAAUUAAUUUUCUUUCAUUCGAGAUCACGAAACUGUUGUCUUCGUUAUUUGACGUGAAAAAAAAAAAAAAAA